UUGUGGUGCCAGCUUUUGACCUAAACCAGCAGAUCAGAGUGCAGUGGUCAGAGCUCAGAUUGGCCCAUGGGAGCACAAGUGGUUUCAUGAGAGAUCCCACGGCUACAGCACUGUUAUACUGGCAGUGCCACCAAAACUGACAAAAUUGUCUUUAACAACAGUCUCCAGGAACUUCUUAGUGUGUGUUUUCUUUUCUUGUUGCAGAUGAUGGAGAGGAACCCAGCGACUGCAGGAAGAUCCCCAUUGCCUGAUGUGGUGUUUUCCUUUGUUGAGGAUGGAUUCAAACCCCUGGCCCUCUGAACACUGAGUAGAGGGACUGGGGCUUGGAAUUGCAUGGAGAGGUUUUUAAGUUGGUGUAGGGGAGAGGGCAAUCCAGGAACAGUCCCCUUUGGGCAGAUAAAGGGUGCAAGUAACUCUUCAGAGCAAUGCCAGCUUGUGCUGGGCAAGGCAGCUCCAGCCUGUGUCUGUUUAGUUUGGGAAGUCUGAUUUGUGUGUGGUAGAAAAUCCUUGAGUUUUGAUGUGCUGGAGGGGCAUGGCAGGCAUCUUGGGUGCCACCCCAGGAUCUGGAAGGCCUGUACUGAUGGGUGUAGUGCCAAUUGUGUGGUGUUUUUCUUGCAUCACCAGCUAAAAGCGUGGGUCAUUCUUGUGCCAACCUGGUUGGUUGUGGUUUAUGGCAUCAUUCCUGGCUGCAUUGGCUACUCUGCUCUCUAGCCAUCCAGUUUAACAGAUUGGAACUUCUUCCCAGAAUCAUGAAGUUCUCAGGCCUUGAAGCCAGCUUCUUGCGCCUCUGUUUUGACAGUACUGUCUUGUAAUGGGCCAUUACAUUUGACUACUUUUUCUUCUGGGGUUGCAAUACAGGCUCCUUGUCUCAGCACUGUGUCCCUGUAGACUCAUUUGCUCAACAGCACCUCUGGUCCAGGAGCCAUUCUUCCUGUUGUGUGUUUCUGUUGCUGUUGGAGUUGCAUUUUCUGUAGCAUUCUGUGUAGUGUCAGACUGAGCAUGUGCGUGUUUGGCUUGGAGCUGCUCUGCCUGGAGGUGUAAAGUCAGGGGUGGGUGGAUUAGCCCUAGGAGUCCAUGGUCAAUCUGUUGAUAUGCCUAGAUUGUAUAGGCAAAGGCUGUACAGUCAUCUGGGGUGGAGUAGCCAUGGGCAGGGGUAGUAGACAGUCCUAUCACUAGUGUUUUUAGGGCUCUUUCUUUCGUGAGGAGCUGCUCAGCAGGAGUGAAGCAGGUUUAAUCUCAGAGGAGUUAAGGCUUGUAUGUGUGGGGCUUAAUGUUUGGUCUACCUUUUUGAGUGGCAAGCUGUGGUUGGACUCCAGGUGGUAUUUCUGCAUGGAAAUCAGAUUUGCAGAUUGGUACAUUUGUUCAUCACUACCCGGGACAUGGGGGCAGCCUGGGGACACACUGGGGCUCUGGGACCCAGUGUGCCUGCUGUAGGAGUCUGAACAGCUCAUCAGUCUCACCAGGGACAACUUCAAGACCAGCACGCUGAUGGACCACAACUUACAGGUUUCAUUGGACAUGGUGGUGGUGGAGCCGGCGGUCAACAAUCUCCAGUCAUGUCCAGGUGCUCUGGUGUUUUUCCCUGGAAAUUCCAAGUUGUUGAAGAGGAACCUGGUGACUACAGAAGAUCCCCAUUAGCUGGUGCGGUGUUUUCUUUUGCUGAGGAUGGAUCGAGAGUCCUAGCCCUCUGAAAGCUAAAUGGAGCGACCACGGUUGGGGAGGUGAGAUGCAGGCAAGACCCAUCCAGGAAUGGUCCCCGUUGGGCAGGUAAAGGGUGCAGAUUUCAGCACGAUGCAGGCUUGUGCCAGGCAGGCAGCUCCAGCCUGUGUCUAUGUUGUUGUACAGUUUGGAAAAUCUGCCUUAUGCCUGUUAGAUGACCCUCAGAUCUUUACAGAAUCAUAGAACAGAAUCAUAAAAAGUCCUGAGUUGGAACGGACCCACAAGGAUCAUCGAGUCCGCCUCCUGUCCAUGCACAGGACAACCCCACAGUUCACACCAUAUGUAUGAGAGUGUUGUCCAGUCUCUUCUUGAACACUGUCAGGCUUCAGGCCAUGACACUUCCCUGGGGAGCCUGUCCCAGUGCUCCACCACCCUUUGGGUGAAGAACCUUUUCCUCAUGUCCAACCUGAACCUCCCCUGGCACAUCCUCCUGCCAUUCCCUCCGGUUCUGUCGUUGGUCACCAGAGAGAAGAGACCAGCGCCUGCUCCUCCUCCUGCCUUGUGAGGAAGCUGUAGCCCCAUGAGGUCUUCCCUCAGUCUCCUCCAGGCUGAACAAGAAGAGUGACUUUAGCUGCUCCUUAUACAAUUUCCUUUCCAAACUCUUCACUAACUUUGUAGCUCUCUUCCAGACACUCUCCAGUAGCUUUAAAUUUUUUUCACAGUGUGGUGUCCUCAUGCCAAUUGUUGAUAAAGGUAUUCAACAGAACUGGCCAAAAUACUGAGCCCUGGGGAACGCUGCUCGUGACCGGCUGCCAAUUGGAUGUGGCUCCAUUCGCCACAACUCUUUGGGCCCGGCCAUCCAGCCAGUUCUUUAUCCAUCACAGAGUUCACCCAUCCAUACCAUGAGCUGCAGCUUCUCCAGGAGAGUGCUGUGGGAUACAGUGUCCAAGGCCUUGCUGAAAUCUAACUACACAACUUCACAUUGACAGGAAAAUUAGCACGAGAUGAAACAGAAACUAUCUAUUUGCCUUAUCUUGGGUAUGUUCAUUUCUGAUCUGUUAAAGUAAGAUUAGUACAGCAAAGCAGUUUUAUUUAAGCAGAUGCCAAGAAAUAAGGUUAUCUUCCUUAGAAUAUUAUUCCUUCCGAAGAUGAUUAGGGUCCUAGAGCAACUUUCUCAUGAAGAGAGACUGAGAAAGCUGGGACUGUUCAGCCUGGAGAAGAGAAGACUGAGAGGUGAUCUCAUAAAUAUUUGUAAAUAUCUCAAGGUUGGGUGUCAAGAGGAUGGGACCAGACUCCUUUCAGUGGUGCCCAAUGAUAGGGUGAGGGGCAACGGGCACAGACUGAAGCACGGGAGUUUCCAUCUGAAUAUGAGAAGAAACUUCUUUACUUUGAGGGUGCCAGAGCACUGGAACGGGCUGCCCAGAGAGGUUGUGGAGUCUCCUUCUCUGGAGACAUUCAGACCCGCCUGGACACAUUCCUGUGUGAUCUGCUCUGCGUGAACCUGCUUUAGCAGGUGGGCUGGACUACAUGGUCUCCAGGGGUCCCUUCUAACCGCAACCAUUCUGUGAUUUUUAAAAUGAAAGCUAUUACGUUAUUUCAUUGCAGCCUUCAGCAGGGCAACAUGGGAUCCAGGAAUAUCACUUGUGGAAAAGUUCUGAAGAGCCAAACCCUUCAAUAAAAUGGAAUGUGGCUACCAACUUCUAUGAAUGUAAUGUGGCUAUGAAAUGCUAAAAAAAAAAAUAAAUUGGUUAGUACAUUUAGUAGAAUUUUUUUUAGCUACACAUUAUUACUCUGUUAAACUUGUUUCAGUAAUUUUGCCCUCAUAGUACAUUGCAACAUUCUAACCAGGCACUCCAUUAACUGAGAGCAAUUCUAGCAAGCAUCUCAUGUUUUUGCACUGCCGUGGUCUUGGUAAUUGUCUUUUUUGGAUAACACAGGACCCUCCGUACCUCUAUACUAAACACACGUAUUGCAAAAUCCGCUUAGGUCAAGUACACGUCAGUCUGUUUUCCCCUUUUGUGUUUGUCCAAAGAUAAAACAAUGCAAUACAGUCAAUGCUUCAAUCACAUGACACUUGUUUUCACACUUUUUACUAUAGAUUGAUAGAAGCUUAAAGUCGUCAUGACCACAACAUCAGACUUUGUUCAUAAAAUAAAUCACAGUAGAAAUCACGGGGUGAGAUUUAUCUAGCCAUUCUCUUCUAAGAUAUACAAUUAUUUUUCUGUUGGGGGAACUCAAUUUAUAUGAUGCUGAGUUUGUUGAAGCCCCAGGUAAUUUGUUCUAGCUUUUGAUUAGAUAUACUCCUAAAACUGCAUACCUGAUUUCUAGUUUGGACUGGUCUAAUUUCAGCUUCCAGCUCGCAAAGCUACUGUUUUGGAAGCAAACUGCUUACUGUUACUAGACUCUUUCCCGUGGAAGUACCUCUUGAUUCUUAGAGAAAACAGCAGGUUGAGUAGUUUGGUGCCUUGCAAGGUAUGUUUUCCACACUUCAUUUAUUGCUUUAGCUCUGCAGUGGAGCAUGAUGUUUCAGCAUCCUUUUAAAGGAGAGGUUGCUGGAACUGCACAUGAUUUCUCAAAAAGUACCUCAACUGCUGCUGUGUGUUCUGCACCAACUUAAAUAGAUUUUUUUUUUUUUUUAAUUAAUAUUGUGGAUUUAUCUUGUUCUUUAAUGAAUUACUAUUCAGGCAACAUGCAUUACACGGACGUGGCGGCCUUUUCUUUUAUAGAUAAAGGGCUGUAGAGAAAAGCUGUUCUGACACUCUGGAGUGUCCCUCUAUACAGAGGGAGACCAGCUGGCUGCAUUGAAUGAACACCUUCCCUCACUCCUUCUCUAUGUGCAUGCACAUACUGAAAUUGCAGCCAUGUGAGCCAUCUCCACAGACUGAGUCUGCUUUAUUUAGCAAUUGAAUUUUUGUUGAGUAGUGUAAUCUACUGUAUUUUUUCCUGUACAUCUCAGCAUUUGGAAAAACCAUUUGUAUAUGAACUUCUGAAAGGGCACUAGUAUGUUCCCAGCGUUUAACUUCCUCCCAUCAGUGACUAACUGGAAAAGCAGAAUGAGUCAUCAAAGAGGUGGAAUAUUUUUCCUUUAAAAGCAAGAAUUUUUCAUGUGUCUGUGGAUUUUGGACAUUGCCUGCUGCCAAAAUGGGUGAGCUGCUCUCCUCUCCACAAUCCCUCUGCUAUGCCUUUGCACCGUCUAUUCCACAGUAUCCAGAAGGUGGUUUAAGGAACUAGGUCAUUGGCAAACUAACCUUACCAAAAAUUCUCCUCUUGAAUUACAUCCUGGAGAACUGCUCAUCAACAAGUUAGGCAACUAGUAAUGGUAGCGUAAGGGAGGGAGCAGAAAACACACGGGAGGAAGCAGACACGGGGAGCAGCAUCCUCCACCCCAGCUGUGUUCGAAAGCUGUGCUCUUAAUUCCCUGAUAAAAUCAAAUGCAAAAGAGAAGCAGCAGAUGAGGUUCAGUGUUUACGUAUUGUAAUGCUGAGUUGUGCAGUGCCUAAACUUAGCACAAUUAAUAUUUUAAACUGAGAGGUAGAUGUCAGUGUAACAUAGACACUUGUGAAAGGAUUACCAUUAUUUUUACCUGCUAUGUUAGGCUAUUCCUCUGCCCACUUAAUUCUGCAGACUACUACAUUUAAUAUUUAUUUUGCAGUGGGGUUAUUAUAAUAAAUGGAACAAAUACAGGCUACCAUCUAAACACCAUCACUACACAUGUUUUUAUUAUUUUUUUUUAUGCUGAUGACUAAUAAAGCAGAUGGAACAAGAAACUCAUGGUAUUGGAGGCACAAAGAAAUAAAGCUGGGUUUUUUAGAACAAGAAUGGCUGAUCACAGCUUAAAUUUUUGUUUGGGAAUUAAGUGUCUAAUCCACAGCCAUUGCAAAGCACGCCUCAUCAGAAAAGGCCUGCUGUUAUUCUGAGACCCUGUUUCUGUUAGGUGGAAGCUUAUGAAGAAGUUGGAGAACUUUCUAGCACACACAGGGUUUCUCACAGAAGAAAGAAAAAAAAAAAAAAGCAAUGGGUCUGUACUUGAGAACAAGCAAGAUUAAACCAGAAAAGUCUUCUGCUUUCUCUGCUCUCUGAGAACAAAUCCCGAGUGCCUCCUUAUGACUUGAAACAUUACUCCAAGUCAACACUUAACGGAGACGUCCCACAGGAAUACUUUUCUACUCCCAUUCAAAGCGUCAUUUUCCUUGAGACCUAUACAGAGGUGGGAUAGGUAAAGCUGAAAGAGAUUGAGUACCUAAGUUUGUCCUUUUAAUGCAGAUCCCUAUCCCCCUGUCUCCUUCAUGUGGGAGAAUCCAUCUCUCAUCUUUAGGGCACUACAGUAAUUGGUUUAUUGAAGACAUACUACAUGAGGAAAGGCUCAAAAUAAGAUUUUCGAUGCAUACAUCUCUAGAGGCCUAUAGCUUUUUGGCAAAUAUCACAUAGUGUAUUUUAAGAUAGAUUUGAUUUUAGUGAGGCCUCCUAAAUGCAAAACAGGGCUGAAGGUGAUGUUAGAAAGGAAAUAGUUAAUGUUUUUUAGGUUUUUAUCUCUAAUUUGGCUCCUCUCAGAUAGUGUUUUUUACAGCAAACUAACACAUUAGGAUAAACUCUAGUGAAAACAUGCUCAUCUUUUGUCCUCAGUGCUUGCCAAUGGAGAUGUUAGUGAGGAGGAAAAUCGAAUUUUCAAAAUAACUUCCACUAAGGGCAAGAAUAUCUUCCAAAGAAGAGAAUGGUGUUUGUUGGAUUGUGUCUGAUGAAGAAAAGGAAUGGAUGGUCAACUUUGAACUCAUAAGAAACUGGGCAACACAGAGGCACUAAAACAAGCCCCAUAGCACCAGAUGCUUCAGUGCCCUCUUCGUUGACUUCCACGAAUGACUUCUGGAUGGCCUGGGACACAACCAAACCAUCUUUCCUAGAGAUUCCUGACAAAUCAGCUUUUCCCCAGUCAAAAACAUUCAUCACUCCCAUCUCCUGUAGAGUUUUGUUGAGAACAUAACUUUCCUCCAUCUUGAACUGGGGCAGGUACACCUUCACUCUCAGCUGUUGCAUCCUAGGGGAGCUGGUCCAUUCUGCUAGUUUUUCAUGUGUGAGGGUGCAUUCAAGCUGUAAGGCAGUAUUGAUAAUAACGAUUGACAUCAUAAUGAAUGGAAGAAAAAAAAUAAUAAGUUUCAGUUUUUCCCGCUUCUCUGACCACACUGAAGCAAUGUCAAAGUGCUGCUCUGCAGCCCCUUAGGUAUGCUACUAGAGGAGAAAGUAGUAUUACCUGUUCUAGGCCAGUAAAGUCCUCACAGACAACUUCAGGAAGAAGAAUGAACAUGCUCAGUUCAUUAUUAAAGUACGGGAGCUCUAGCACUUUCAUUUUCGGUUCCUCUAUGAUGGCCAUGUUAAAAUAACCUUCUUGAAACAUCAUCUGCACUGGCCUUUUCUCAUUCUGGAACACAUGAAAUAUACUAAGCAGAAAAUACAGAAAUACAGAAAUGAUCGCUCUGGUUUCAGUAUUGAGAUCAGAGUUCAGUCCAGAAAACUAUUGACAAUGGUCAUGGGUUUGAUGCACUUGUAGCAUUGAUGUGUUCCUCCCUCUUAACUGUAGCUAUCCAUUUUAGAAGCAUAAAACUUAUUUUUCCAUUUUUAUUGGUUCCAAAUUACUCACAAAUCCCUUGUUAUGCCACCUGGCAUGUCAGGUGGGAAAACUGAUGCACAUGAUGCAAACAUUAAUCUAAAUUCUUCAUUAAUAAUAUAUGCAUUCUCCUGAGAUAAUUUGUCUCUAGCUCAUUUUUUCCUGAAAACGCUGUUCUGUUGGUAAACAGUAGCAAAGGAAUAGAAUCCUCAAAUUCAGUUCCAAAAGCAGAUGGUUUUGGAACAGCAUCCUUAGUUGUGAAAUUCCCAACAAAGGGACCCUGACCCAACCAGGAUCUCAGCUGCACAAGAGCCACUUCUGAUGGGAAGUGAUAGAAGCAGUUACAUGUUUGGUUAUCAAACUGGAGAGAAGAUGUAGCUUUCCAUUGUUCUAGCUGAAAACCAAUGUUUUGUCUUGGGACAACAGCAAGGAGGAAAGCUCCUAUCUGUUGUUAUAGGAGACUGACAUCUGAUUUCCACACCCAGAUAUUUCAGUUCCUGCCCACACUGUACCUUGUUCAGUUGGAAAUAUGUUUCCUUAGUGUCUUCUUUCUUAAAUUCUACUGCCCACUUUCCUUUAAAAUAUAUAGCAUUGACCAGGACAAGUACAGUGGAGGGAUCAAUAAACCCGGCAGCAAAUAGGUCUUUGAUUUUACCUUUAAAAAUAAUAAAUUAAGAAUUAUUACUCUGUUCAGGCAAUCAGCUGCAUUUGACUAUUGAUAAUUAAUCCUGUAAAUCUGAAAAGUAGAAUAAUGCUCUCAGACAAAUAGCAAAAAGUUUAUGUACAGCUUUCAAAGCCAGGAACUCAAGGCAUUUUUGUACUUCUUCCUACCUUUAUUUCCUAUCGAGCUAAAAAAAAAAUGCAGUAAGUGUUUAAUACAUGGAAAACUUUCUAACUUUGGAAAAAAAAAAAAAAGAAAAAAAAGAAAAAAAAUAUAGAAACUGAAAUUCAGAUGUGAUAUUCCUAACUGGUUGGAUUGCAAACCGAACAAGCUGCACUUAUUCUUCUUUACCUUUUGUCUCAUUUUCCACCCAGACAUUAAUCUUUUCUCUGGCUUCUUCUUCAGUGUAUUUAAAAUUGACUGCUUCCAGUUCUGCUCGAUAGAAUUUCUUUGUGGAAUCCAAGUAUUGCUGGAAAGUACAAAUGGCAGAAUUUUAUCACAGCAAGAUGAUUUUUAUAAGCUUAAUAAUUUCAUGGUUUCCAGAUAAUUCCAUGUAGUAGAUCAGCAAGAAACAGCAAGAAAUGAAUGAGUAAAACAGACAUAUGGGAAUAAAUUCAUUUAAUUAACUCAAGCAUGCAGUUUUUAGAGAGAGAUUUUUUAUAACAAAUCAUAUUUGCAAACAUACUUUUCUGUAUUUUCAAACUGUACUGAACAGCAGAAAUGUCUCAUCACAGUAAAAAAUAUCUAAGGCCAAAACUUAGUACCCUUCUUUAUGUUCACAUAUCGUUGUUAUGCUGUCUGUCUUCCCCUAACCACCAAAUAAAGAAUGUUGCCUUAUUUUGAACAAAUAAUUGGGGUUGAUAAUAUCACAGUGAGAUAAAGUGUGUGUAUAUAGACAUUAUUCUGUGUAGAUAGAUACACUGUAAAACUUAUAACUUAUAUUAAAUAUAGAACUUUUCAA